rnacentral:rRNA from 1 species
GCCUAACACAUGCAAGCCGAGCGGUAUUUAUUCUUCGGAAUAGAGAGAGCGGCGUACGGGUGCGGAACACGUGUGCAACCUGCCUUUAUCAGGGGGAUAGCCUUUCGAAAGGAAGAUUAAUACCCCAUAAUAUAAUUGAUGGCAUCAUUGAUUAUUGAAAACUCCGGUGGAUAGAGAUGGGCACGCGCAAGAUUAGAUAGUUGGUAGGGUAACGGCCUACCAAGUCAGUGAUCUUUAGGGGGCCUGAGAGGGUGAUCCCCCACACUGGUACUGAGACACGGACCAGACUCCUACGGGAGGCAGCAGUGAGGAAUAUUGGACAAUGGGUGAGAGCCUGAUCCAGCCAUCCCGCGUGAAGGACGACGGCCCUAUGGGUUGUAAACUUCUUUUGUAUAGGGAUAAACCUAGAUACGUGUAUCUAGCUGAAGGUACUAUACGAAUAAGCACCGGCUAACUCCGUGCCAGCAGCCGCGGUAAUACGGAGGGUGCAAGCGUUAUCCGGAUUUAUUGGGUUUAAAGGGUCCGUAGGCGGAUCUGUAAGUCAGUGGUGAAAUCUCAUAGCUUAACUAUGAAACUGCCAUUGAUACUGCAGGUCUUGAGUAAGGUAGAAGUAGCUGGAAUAAGUAGUGUAGCGGUGAAAUGCAUAGAUAUUACUUAGAACACCAAUUGCGAAGGCAGGUUACUAUGUCUUAACUGACGCUGAUGGACGAAAGCGUGGGGAGCGAACAGGAUUAGAUACCCUGGUAGUCCACGCCGUAAACGAUGCUAACUCGUUUUUGGGUUUUCGGAUUCAGAGACUAAGCGAAAGUGAUAAGUUAGCCACCUGGGGAGUACGUUCGCAAGAAUGAAACUCAAAGGAAUUGACGGGGGCCCGCACAAGCGGUGGAUUAUGUGGUUUAAUUCGAUGAUACGCG